CCAAUAGCGUAUAUUAAAGUUGUUGCAGUUAAAAAGCUCGUAGUUGGAUUUCGGGGUCAGUAGGUUGGUCAUGCCACUGGUAUGUACUGGUCUCACUGAUUCCUCCUUCCUGAUGAACUGUAAUGCCAUUAAUUUGGUGUUGCAGGGAAUCUGGACUGUUACUUUGAAAAAAUUAGAGUGUUUAAAGCAGGCUAACGCCUGAAUACAUUAGCAUGGAAUAAUGAAAUAGGACGUUCGAUCCUAUUUUGUUGGUUUCUAGGAUUGACGUAAUGAUUAAUAGGGAUAGUUGGGGGCAUUAGUAUUCAAUUGUCAGAGGUGAAAUUCUUGGAUUUAUUGAAGACUAACUACUGCGAAAGCAUUUGCCAAGGAUGUUUUCAUUAAUCAAGAACGAAAGUUAGGGGAUCGAAGACGAUCAGAUACCGUCGUAGUCUUAACCAUAAACUAUGCCGACUAGGGAUCGGAUGAUGUUAAUUUUUUAAUGACUCAUUCGGCGCCUUACG
rnacentral:rRNA from 1 species